GCCAGCAUGGUGUGGUGGUUAGUGCAUUAGCCUAAGAUUCUGGAGACCAGGGUUCAAAUCCCAGCUCAGCCA